UACAGAGGGUGCGAGCGUUGUCCGGAAUCACUGGGCGUAAAGGGCGUGUAGGCGGCUGGGUAAGCCGCGUGUGAAAUCCCGGGGCUCAACCCCGGAACGGCACGCGGGACUGUCCGGCUAGAGAAUGGUAGAGGCGAGUGGAAUUCCUGGUGUAGCGGUGGAAUGCGUAGAGAUCAGGAAGAACACCGGUGGCGAAGGCGGCUCGCUGGGCCAUUUCUGACGCUGAGGCGCGAAAGCGUGGGGAGCAAACGGG
rnacentral:rRNA from 1 species